UAGGGAAUCUUCGGCAAUGGGGGGAACCCUGACCGAGCAACGCCGCGUGAGUGAAGAAGGUUUUCGGAUCGUAAAGCUCUGUUGUUAAGGAAGAACGAGUGUGAGAAUGGAAAGUUCAUACUGUGACGGUACUUAACCAGAAAGGGACGGCUAACUACGUGCCAGCAGCCGCGGUAAUACGUAGGUCCCGAGCGUUGUCCGGAUUUAUUGGGCGUAAAGCGAGCGCAGGCGGUUAGAAAAGUCUGAAGUGAAAGGCAGUGGCUCAACCAUUGUAGGCUUUGGAAACUGUUUAACUUGAGUGCAGAAGGGGAGAGUGGAAUUCCAUGUGUAGCGGUGAAAUGCGUAGAUAUAUGGAGGAACACCGGUGGCGAAAGCGGCUCUCUGGUCUGUAACUGACGCUGAGGUUCGAAAGCGUGGGUAGCAAACAGG
rnacentral:rRNA from 1 species